rnacentral:rRNA from 1 species
GUAAUAAGGCUUUAAUUGGGUGCUAAGAGAAUGGUUUUUCAUAGGAAAGCUUUAUUCUUUUUUAUAUUAGAAGUUGGUAUAAAGAUGAAAAAAUCUUUAUAAUAUUUUGGGACAAGAAGACCCUAUGAAUUUGUUAAAAAUGUUUCAAUUAUUUAAUUAUGAUAUUUUAAUUGGUUGGGGUGAUUUUUUAAGACUGAGAAUCUUAAAAAGGAGUUUAAUAGGUCCAUUAAUAAUGAGGAUUUGAAUAAAAUACUCUAGGGAUAACAGCGUAAUAAUUUUGGAUAGUUCAUAUAGAUAAAAUAGUUUGCGACCUCGAUGUUGGAUUAAGAUUCUUAUAUAAUGCAGGAGUUAUAAGAGGAAGUUUGCUCAACUUUUAAAUUCUUACAUGAU